rnacentral:rRNA from 1 species
AUUGAACGCUGGCGGCAGGCCUAACACAUGCAAGUCGAGCGGAGCGGCGGACGGGUGCGUAAUGACUAGGAAUCUGACUGGUAGUGGGGGAUAACGUCCGGAAACGGACGCUAAUACCGCAUACUAUCAGAUGAGCAUCGGUCGGAUUAGCUAGUUGGUGGGGUAAUGGCUCGCCAAGGCGACGAUCCGGAAAUGGUCUGAGAGGCUGAUCAGUAAAACUGAAACUGAGACACGGUCCAGACUCCUACGCGAGGCAGAAGGGGGGAAUAUUGAACAAUGGGCGAAAUCCUGAUCCAGCCAUGCCGCGUGUGUGAAGAAGGUCUUCGGAUUGUAAAGCACUAUAAGGUGGGAGGCGUAACGACAGAAUAAGCACCGGCUAACUCAGUGCCAGCAGCCGCGGUAAUUC